AGAAGCUUUGAUCCGUAGAUUUCCGAAUGGGGCAACCCAAUGUAUAGAGAUAUACAUUACCUAUAUAGGAGCGAACGAGGGGAAUUGAAACAUCUUAGUACCCUCAGGAAAAGAAAUCAAUAGAGAUUGCGUCAGUAGCGGCGAGCGAAAGCGCAAGAGGGCAAACCCAGUGCUUGCACUGGGGGUUGUAGGACUGCAAUGUGCAAGAGGUAAGUUUAGCAGAACAUUCUGGAAAGUAUAACCAUAGAGGGUGAUAGUCCCGUAUGCGAAAAACAAACCUUAGCUAGCAGUAUCCUGAGUAGGGCGGGACACGAGGAAUCCUGUCUGAAUCUGGGUCGACCACGAUCCAACCCUAAAUACUAAUACCAGAUCGAUAGUGCACAAGUACCGUGAGGGAAAGGUGAAAAGAACUGAGGUGAUCAGAGUGAAAUAGAACCUGAAACCAUUUGCUUACAAUCAUUCAGAGCCCUAUGUAGCAAUACAGGGUGAUGGACUGCCUUUUGCAUAAUGAGCCUGCGAGUUGUGGUGUCUGGCAAGGUUAAGCAAACGCGAAGCCGUAGCGAAAGCGAGUCUGAAUAGGGCGCUUAGUCAGAUGCUGCAGACCCGAAACGAAGUGAUCUAUCCAUGAGCAAGUUGAAGCUAGUGUAAGAACUAGUGGAGGACUGAACCCAUAGGCGUUGAAAAGCCCCGGGAUGACUUGUGGAUAGGGGUGAAAGGCCAAUCAAACUUCGUGAUAGCUGGUUCUCUCCGAAAUAUAUUUAGGUAUAGCGUUGUGUCGUAAUAUAAGGGGGUAGAGCACUGAAUGGGCUAGGGCAUACACCAAUGUACCAAACCCUAUCAAACUCCGAAUACCUUAUAUGUAAUCACAGCAG
rnacentral:rRNA from 1 species